rnacentral:rRNA from 1 species
GGGUUGUGAGGUUAAGCGACUAAGCGUACACGGUGGAUGCCCUGGCAGUCAGAGGCGAUGAAGGGCGUGCUAAUCUGCGAUAAGCGCCGGUAAGGUGAUAUGAACCGUUAUAACCGGCGAUACCCGAAUGGGGAAACCCAGUGUGAUUCGUCACACUAUCAUUAACUGAAUCCAUAGGUUAAUGAGGCGAACCGGGGGAACUGAAACAUCUAAGUACCCCGAGGAAAAGAAAUCAACCGAGAUUCCCCCAGUAGCGGCGAGCGAACGGGGAGGAGCCCAGAGCCUGAAUCAGCAUGUGUGUUAGUGGAAGCGUCUGGAAAGGCGCGCGAUACAGGGUGACAGCCCCGUACACAAAAGCGCAUGUGCUGUGAGCUCGAUGAGUAGGGCGGGACACGUGGUAUCCUGUCUGAAUAUGGGGGGACCAUCCUCCAAGGCUAAAUACUCCUGACUGACCGAUAGUGAACCAGUACCGUGAGGGAAAGGCGAAAAGAACCCCGGCGAGGGGAGUGAAAAAGAACCUGAAACCGUGUACGUACAAGCAGUGGGAGCACAGGUUUACCUGUGUGACUGCGUACCUUUUGUAUAAUGGGUCAGCGACUUAUAUUCUGUAGCAAGGUUAACCGAAUAGGGGAGCCGGAGGGAAACCGAGUCUUAAUUGGGCGUUAAGUUGCAGGGUAUAGACCCGAAACCCGGUGAUCUAGCCAUGGGCAGGUUGAAGGUUGGGUAACACUAACUGGAGGACCGAACCGACUAAUGUUGAAAAAUUAGCGGAUGACCUGUGGCUGGGGGUGAAAGGCCAAUCAAACCGGGAGAUAGCUGGUUCUCCCCGAAAGCUAUUUAGGUAGCGCCUCGUGAAUUCAUCUCCGGGGGUAGAGCACUGUUUCGGCUAGGGGGCCAUCCCGGCUUACCAACCCGAUGCAAACUGCGAAUACCGGAGAAUGUUAUCACGGGAGACACACGGCGGGUGCUAACGUCCGUCGUGAAGAGGGAAACAACCCAGACCGCCAGCUAAGGUCCCAAAGUCAUGGUUAAGUGGGAAACGAUGUGGGAAGGCCCAGACAGCCAGGAUGUUGGCUUAGAAGCAGCCAUCAUUUAAAGAAAGCGUAAUAGCUCACUGGUCGAGUCGGCCUGCGCGGAAGAUGUAACGGGGCUAAACCAUGCACCGAAGCUGCGGCAGCGANNGUUGGGUAGGGGAGCGUUCUGUAAGCCUGUGAAGGUGGCCUGUGAGGGUUGCUGGAGGUAUCAGAAGUGCGAAUGCUGACAUAAGUAACGAUAAAGCGGGUGAAAAGCCCGCUCGCCGGAAGACCAAGGGUUCCUGUCCAACGUUAAUCGGGGCAGGGUGAGUCGACCCCUAAGGCGAGGCCGAAAGGCGUAGUCGAUGGGAAACGGGUUAAUAUUCCCGUACUUGGUGUUACUGCGAAGGGGGGACGGAGAAGGCUAUGUUGGCCGGGCGACGGUUGUCCCGGUUUAAGCGUGUAGGUGUGUGUUCCAGGUAAAUCCGGUUCACUUUAACACUGAGGCGUGAUGACGAGGCACUACGGUGCUGAAGUAACAAAUGCCCUGCUUCCAGGAAAAGCCUCUAAGCAUCAGGUAACAUCAAAUCGUACCCCAAACCGACACAGGUGGUCAGGUAGAGAAUACCAAGGCGCUUGAGAGAACUCGGGUGAAGGAACUAGGCAAAAUGGUGCCGUAACUUCGGGAGAAGGCACGCUGACACGUAGGUGAAGUGAUUUACUCAUGGAGCUGAAGUCAGUCGAAGAUACCAGCUGGCUGCAACUGUUUAUUAAAAACACAGCACUGUGCAAACACGAAAGUGGACGUAUACGGUGUGACGCCUGCCCGGUGCCGGAAGGUUAAUUGAUGGGGUCAGCGCAAGCGAAGCUCCUGAUCGAAGCCCCGGUAAACGGCGGCCGUAACUAUAACGGUCCUAAGGUAGCGAAAUUCCUUGUCGGGUAAGUUCCGACCUGCACGAAUGGCGUAAUGAUGGCCAGGCUGUCUCCACCCGAGACUCAGUGAAAUUGAACUCGCUGUGAAGAUGCAGUGUACCCGCGGCAAGACGGAAAGACCCCGUGAACCUUUACUAUAGCUUGACACUGAACAUUGAGCCUUGAUGUGUAGGAUAGGUGGGAGGCUUUGAAGCGUGGACGCCAGUCUGCGUGGAGCCGACCUUGAAAUACCACCCUUUAAUGUUUGAUGUUCUAACGUGGACCCGUGAUCCGGGUUGCGGACAGUGUCUGGUGGGUAGUUUGACUGGGGCGGUCUCCUCCUAAAGAGUAACGGAGGAGCACGAAGGUUGGCUAAUCCUGGUCGGACAUCAGGAGGUUAGUGCAAUGGCAUAAGCCAGCUUGACUGCGAGCGUGACGGCGCGAGCAGGUGCGAAAGCAGGUCAUAGUGAUCCGGUGGUUCUGAAUGGAAGGGCCAUCGCUCAACGGAUAAAAGGUACUCCGGGGAUAACAGGCUGAUACCGCCCAAGAGUUCAUAUCGACGGCGGUGUUUGGCACCUCGAUGUCGGCUCAUCACAUCCUGGGGCUGAAGUAGGUCCCAAGGGUAUGGCUGUUCGCCAUUUAAAGUGGUACGCGAGCUGGGUUUAGAACGUCGUGAGACAGUUCGGUCCCUAUCUGCCGUGGGCGCUGGAGAACUGAGGGGGGCUGCUCCUAGUACGAGAGGACCGGAGUGGACGCAUCACUGGUGUUCGGGUUGUCAUGCCAAUGGCACUGCCCGGUAGCUAAAUGCGGAAGAGAUAAGUGCUGAAAGCAUCUAAGCACGAAACUUGCCCCGAGAUGAGUUCUCCCUGAGACUU